rnacentral:lncRNA from 1 species
GGAGGAAGAAGAAAAGUGAACGGACCGUGAACAUGGCGCUACCGACGGUAACUCCCUUUGAUGUGUUGAGCGAUUCAGCUAAUGUUGGCGUCCGCUGGCAAAAGUGGCUAAAUAGUUUUAAACUCUAUUUAGUGGCGUCGGGAAUCCGCGACGAUGCACGGAAAAGGGCUUUGUUGCUACAUUUAGCAGGAGCUGAAGUCCAAGACAUCUUCUUCACUAUGGAUGAAACUGCAGGCGACGGUGGCUAUGACGGUGCAGUAAACAAGCUGAAUGCCUAUUUUACACCGCAGAAAAAUAUCCCCUAUGAAAGACACGUGUUCAGACAAGCAGAGCAAACACAAGGAGAGUCCAUUGACAGUUUUGUGCGUAGAUUGAAGAAGCUUGCAGCUACAUGUGAGUUUGGGGACAACAGAGAUGAUUUCAUACGUGAUCAAGUGAUUGAUAAAUGCUCGUCAAACACACUGCGCAGACGCUUGCUGCGACAGAAAGAUUUAAAACUCCCAGAGCUCCAAGAAAUUGCAAGAGUGAUGGAGACAGCAGAUUAUCAAGCUGAAAGGAUGGAAAAAUUAACAGUUAAUGCUGUGGAAAAGAAAUGUGACAAAAGUAGAGAUACAUCUGUAAGAUCCAGAUUCUCCAAAAGCCAAAGUCAGUCACCACGUGAUGAGCACGGCAUCAAGUGUUACAGGUGUGGGCGUACAGGACACAUGAGCCGUGAGUGCACAGUGACAAAGAACAAAAAGUGCAAUAACUGUGGGAAAGAAGGACAUUUCGCAAAGAUGUGUAAGACAAAGAAAACACAUAAAGUAAACAGAGUCACAACCACAGUAACACACCAAGGACCCAGCGACAGUGAAGAUGACUAUGUGUUUACAGUAAAUAAGUGUGCUGCUGAGGGAACACUGUCCAUAUUAAUAAAUGACCAACCAGUAGACAUGCUGAUAGAUUCAGGGGCUUCAUGUAAUAUUGUGACAGAAUCCAAGUUUGAGCAAUUGAAGUCAAAAGGUCACAUCAAGCUACGGCGUCCAGUGAAGAGAGUCUAUCCAUUCGGCUCUACAACACCACUCUGUGUAAAAGGUGUUUUCACUGCUGGAUUCAAAGCUAAUGAAACAUCAGAACCAGUCACAGCGACAAUCCAAGUGAUUAAAGAGGCACAAAUCUGUGUGUUGGGAAGACACACUGCUGAGAAAUUGGGACUUCUAC